rnacentral:lncRNA from 1 species
CUGAGCUUUCAAAGCAAAUAUUUUCUGGUUGUCACACAAGCUAAUGAACAUUGAAGAUUCCCUGGCUCUUGCCGAAGCUGUAGUGCCGUUUUACGAUCCCAUAUGCAACACCCGCAAAUUUGGGGUUAAACACAGUAUACAAUCUUAGCUAAAGAUGUACUAGUUGUAAUGACUAUCUUAAGGAUACAAGGAGCGCUUAAAUCCAACUUUGUAUGAAGAAUUUAUGAUUCUUCGAAGUUUCACAAACAACCAGUCACAAUUAUACUUGUUAUAAAAAGUUAAUUAGACAUAGGUUGUUUAUUAGCCUAAGAAAUCUAAACAAAAGUUGUAGUAGUUGUAAAACGAGAGCGUGGAUAUAGAGAAUGCCCAAAUCUUACUUUAUAUGAGGAAGUUAUGAUUUAUUGAAGUUUCAGCGCAACGGUAUGUGACAUAAAAAUCGAAAUUCAAAUAGGUUGAGUAUUAGCUGAAACAAUCUAAAAAAGAAUUGACGAUCUCAUGAAUAAGAUUUGUCAAUAUAAAGACAUUUGAUAAAGGUUGUCAUGUGAAAUACUUAUAAUUUUUAUACAUACUUUAACAGUCUAAGCCUAUUAAACAUAUAACUUUAAAAAUAAAUUGAGAAUUAUCCAAUAGAGUCUAAAUGAAAGUUGUAGUACUAGUUGAUUGCGACGCGUGGAUAUAUAAAGAACUUCGAAAACAGAGCUCGUAGAAAGAAGAUAUGAAUUUUAGAAAAUAUGAAAAUUCAUACACUUAGCACGUAGACAUUCUAGAAGCAUGUGAUUCAUUGGUAUAAUUAGAUCUUGUAGUAGUUCCAUGCUAUAACAACUUAGUAUGUUCGUUCUGUUAUAGUAUCUUAGUAUGUUCUUCCUGUUAUCUUUUAUUAUAUCUAGUAUGAAUUGAACUUCUAAACUAUAUCCCUUAUAGUUCACUAGUAUGUUUACUUGAAAUGUUAUUGAAAAGACUCAUUUAUCUACUAAGUUAUGUUUGUGCUUUAAAAACGGAGUUUUGUUAAACUAUAAAGCAACAUAACUUUAAAAGAGUUUUGAAAUGUUUUGAUCACUUAUAUAAGACAUAAGCAAUCUUUUGAAAAAUGUUUAUAACAAACAUUUACACAAUUAUCAUUGUGUUCAACUUGUAUUCCCCAUUAAAGCAUUUAAAACAGUUUAAAAGAUUAAUUACGUGGUAUGAACUCACUUGAUGUAGGUGAUUCAAACGAAUAGGUGUGUAAGGAUGAGAAGCUCCACGAAUGAAGUCCUGAGACUUAACGAGUCCUAAAUGACAUAUAAUGGCAUAUAUUGACUUAAAUAUAGCUUUUAGAGGCAACCAAAUGCAAGGAAACACCUUACGGGACUAGGAAACACUUUGACCAAGUGUUGGAAUCACAUGUGAUUGGACUAAAGGAUGUUUAAGGCCAAGAAAAGGUGUUUGCGGCUAGGGUGUAAACUCAUGGCCGUACUCAUAGAAAUGUGCAUAAGAGGGUGUUUGAAUGCUAGGGAACUAGAGGGACCAUUGUUGUUCACAAGGAUGAGCAAAACCAAUGUUUUGGAGGGUGUUGAGGUGUUUACGGCCAGACCAUAAACUCUAUGGCCAUAAACUCACCAAAAGGGACUUAUCUUGGGUCUUAAAGGGAAGGAGUUUCAAAGGUUCAAGUGUUCUAAGGUUUANGGAGGGUGUUGAGGUGUUUACGGCGAGACCAUAAACUCUAUGGCCAUAAACUCACCAAUGGGACUUAUCUUGGGUCUUAAAGGCAAGGAGUUUCAAAGUUUCAAGUGUUCUAAGGGUUAGCAAGGGUCUAGAAGUGUUUAAGGCCUAAAACACCACACUUUCAACGGUUUACGGCCAGGGUGUAAACUCAUGGCCGUAAACUCUCUUUGAUGAAGUUUUAAGGAUCUAAUCAAGUGUUCCAACUAGAUAACAAGCUAAGGAGAGAGUAUUUACGAUAUAGAGGCUUGAAAUGGUGAUUAAGUUCAAAGAACACUAGUGUGUGUUCUUGGUGUUUCUUGAAGAUCUAAGAAAAGAUGAUUUCCAUGGAUGAAAUCAUGAGAUGAUACUAGAUUAAGAGAUGUGAGAAAUGGCUAGAAAUGAUCAAGAGCCAUAUAUAUGGACUAGUGUUUAUGGCCAGGGUGUAAANACUACUGUUUAUGGCCAGGGUGUAAACUCUAAGAGUGUAUGGCUAGGGUGUAAACUCUAUGACUUUACGACUAGGGUGUAAACUUAUGGACAUUGUGGCCGUGAACUCCUUAGGAUGAGGUUAAGGCUUGAUCUGUUGUACAUUGCUUUAGUAGGUAAUUCCUAACACUUAUUCCUUAUGUGUACUAGGCUAAAACUCCUUAGAAUGACCUUUAACAAUGCUAGAACUCAUUAGAAAUGAGUAUGACACUGAGUUGAGUUGACUGACUGAGCUUUCAAAGCAAAUAUUUUCAGGUUGUCACACAAGCUAAUGAACAUGGAACAUUCCCUGGCUCUUGCCGAAGCUGUAGUGCCGUUUUACGAUCCCAUAUGCAACACCCGCAAAUUCGGGGUUAAACACAGUAUACAAUCUUAGCUAAAGAUGUACUAGUUGUAAUGACUAUCUUAAGGAUACAAGGAGCGCUUUAAUCCAACUUUGUAUGAAGAAUUUAUGAUUCUUCGAAGUUUCACAAACAACCAGACACAAUUAUACAUGUUAUACAAAGUUAGGUUGUUUAUUAGCCUAAGAAAUCUAAACAAAAGUUGUAGUAGUUGUAAAACGAGAGCAUGGAUAU